CAGUGGGGAAUCUUAGACAAUGGGGGCAACCCUGAUCUAGCCAUGCCGCGUGAGUGAUGAAGGCCUUAGGGUUGUAAAGCUCUUUCAGCUGGGAAGAUAAUGACGGUACCAGCAGAAGAAGCCCCGGCUAACUCCGUGCCAGCAGCCGCGGUAAUACGGAGGGGGCUAGCGUUGUUCGGAAUUACUGGGCGUAAAGCGCACGUAGGCGGACCGGAAAGUUGGGGGUGAAAUCCCGGGGCUCAACCUCGGAACUGCCUUCAAAACUAUCGGUCUGGAGUUCGAGAGAGGUGAGUGGAAUUCCGAGUGUAGAGGUGAAAUUCGUAGAUAUUCGGAGGAACACCAGUGGCGAAGGCGGCUCACUGGCUCGAUACUGACGCUGAGGUGCGAAAGCGUGGGGAGCAAACAGGAUUAGA
rnacentral:rRNA from 1 species